UUCGCAAUGCCCGAAAGGGUGACGAAGCGACGCCGCGUGUGGGAAGAAGGCCUUCGGGUUGUAAACCACUGUCGGGAGUUAAGAAAUGCAAGGAUAUUAAUAGUGUCUUUGCUUGACUAAGGCUCCGGAGGAAGCCACGGCUAACUCUGUGCCAGCAGCCGCGGUAAUACAGAGGCGGCAAGCGUUGUUCGGAAUUAUUGGGCGUAAAGAGCACGUAGGCGGCUAUGUAAGUCGGUUGUGAAAGCCUUCCGCUCAACGGGAGAACAGCAUCCGAUACUACAUGGCUUGAGUGCGGGAGGGGAGAGUGGAACUUCUGGUGGAGCGGUGAAAUGCGUAGAUAUCAGAAGGAACGCCGGCGGCGAAAGCGGCUCUCUGGCCCAUAACUGACGCUGAGUGUGCGAAAGCUAGGGGAGCAAACGGGAUUAGAUACCCCGGUAGUCCUAGCCGUAAAC
rnacentral:rRNA from 1 species